UACGUAGGUGGCAAGCGUUGUCCGGAUUUACUGGGCGUAAAGAGCGCGCAGGCGGUCGUUCAAGUCGCGUGUGAAAGCCCCCGGCUCAACUGGGGAGGGUCACGCGAUACUGAUCGACUCGAAGGCAGGAGAGGGUAGUGGAAUUCCCGGUGUAGUGGUGAAAUGCGUAGAUAUCGGGAGGAACACCAGUGGCGAAGGCGACUACCUGGCCUGUCCUUGACGCUGAGGCACGAAGGCGUGGGGAGCGAACGGGG
rnacentral:rRNA from 1 species